AAAUGACUCGGCCACUCGUGAACGAUAGUGAUCUUCCUCACCGGCGAGGGUUUCGACUGAGUUUCGCCCUCCUCUUCUUCUUCUUCUUCUUCCUCCUUCAACAAUUGAACGCGACACACUCCGGCAGGCCUGUUCGAGAUGGCAAAUCACGAGCGGGUUUGGUAACCCAGUGUCAGAACCUUCCUCACGCGAACCCUCCACCUGCUCUAACUCGUGUGGGGCUCCAAAUUCAAGCUCUGUCGCCCCAAUUCCAUGGCUUCUCAUGGCCAUCUCGACGAGGACGACGAUUUUGGAGGAGACUUUUCUGGGACUCGUAAUGCUAGGCGUUCAGGUAAUAAGAGAACUUUUGGAGACAUUGAGGACGAUGAAGACGAUCUCUUUGGAUCCAAGAAGGGUGAUAAAAAAGCCGAAGAAAAUGCUCCUGGUGCGGCUACAGGAAUGAUUUUGUCACUUCGUGAGAGUCUUCAGAACUGUAAGGAUACUCUAAUGACAUGCCAAACAGAACUUGAAGCUGCAAAAUCUGAGAUUCAGAAGUGGCAUUCUUCAUUCCAAAAUGAGUCCUUCAUACCUUUUGGGACAUCUCCUGAACCCAAGGUGAUAAUCAACUACCUUCAGACACUUAGAUCUUCAGAAGAGGCAUUGAGAGAGCAGCUGGAAAAGGCAAAGAAAAAGGAAGCUGCUUUCAUAGUAACGUUUGCAAAACGGGAGCAGGAGAUAGCUGAGUUAAAGUCUGCUGUUCGAGACUUAAAAGCACAACUCAAGCCACCAUCUAUGCAGGCAAGGCGUUUAUUGUUAGAUCCAGCAAUUCAUGAAGAGUUUACCCGUCUAAAGAACUUGGUAGAGGAGAAGGACAAGAGGGUGAAGGAGUUGCAGGAUAAUAUUGCAGCUGUUAGUUUUACUCCACAGAGCAAAAUGGGUAAGAUGCUCAUGGCUAAAUGCAGGACCCUACAAGAGGAAAAUGAGGAGAUUGGGAAUCAAGCAGCUGAGGGAAAGAUGCAUGAAUUAGCAAUGAAACUGGCUUUACAAAAGUCGCAGAAUGCAGAGCUGCGGAGUCAAUUUGAAGGAUUAUAUAAACACAUGGAAGGACUCACAAAUGACGUUGAAAAGUCAAAUGAAAUGGUGCUCAUCUUGCAAGAGAAGCUGGAAGAGAAGGAUCAGGAGCUGAGAAGAUUAAAGAAUGAGCGACGGCAGAAAAAAAUGCCUCAAGUGAUGAACGAUAAAGCUCCUGUUAAGGAGGAGAAUCAAGAAUGUGUUGGAGACUGAGUGGGGAUCGAAGAAGUAAAUUUAAUAGGACUGUCGUUUAUUCUGUUUCUCUCUUUAUCCUCGGUCGUUUUGUUUGUACAUUAUUGUCAUCAUUUUCUUUUUCUUUUACGUGCUCUUCACUUUCUCAUUUGUCUCGUUACUCUAUGAACAAUUUUGGAAGUUUGAUAGGCUUUGCGAGACUGCAUGUUUAAGGCCACUGGGUUUCGUAGCAUGUGAGACGGACUAUAAUGGUUAUUUUCAACGUGGAGUGUUUCUUCUUUUUGA